GACGAACCGUGCGAACGUUAUUCGGAAUCACUGGGCUUAAAGGGUGCGUAGGCUGGUUGCCAAGUCUGUGGUGAAAUCCUCCGGCUUAACCGGAGAACUGCCGUGGAUACUGGCGACCUCGAGUGGGGUAGGGGCUUGCGGAACUGUGCGUGGAGCGGUGAAAUGCGUUGAUAUGCGCAGGAACUCCGGUGGCGAAGGCGGCGAGCUGGACCCUAACUGACGCUGAGGCACGAAAGCCAGGGGAGCGAACGGG
rnacentral:rRNA from 1 species